GAUCCUACCUCCCACUGAUUUCCAGCUGAGGAUCUCAACUAAAUGGCUUGACUUUUUAAAGAUUUACUGGUGUGGAUACUAUUUAUUACCACGAGAAGGGAAUCCAGCCUCUCCUUUCACAAAAGAUUUUCAGAACUGGGUCCUUUCAGGAAGCUCCUUGGACAGAGAAUCUGUUGUCUUCUCAAAAGCAAUUCUUCAAGCAGAAUACUACCCUCAGUAGUUACAUCUCCACAGCCUUCACUGACUUCCAAUUACUUCUCUGCGGCCUUGUUACCGUCAGUGAUGAUGGUGCACAGGUGUGACCGAGGGCAUAGUUUGGAAACAAUGGCUUGUAAUUACAACAUCCAGAAAAUAAUUUAUUUCACUCUUCCAAGUUUUUCCAGUGCUACAGUCUCUCUCUGCAUGUUCCAUUGCAUGUUUGUGUAGGAUGUAAACUCCUUCUACACCCACAAAGCUCCAAGGUCUCCAAUAUGCCUACGCCCUUUACAAGAAAAAUAAGUGUUCCGGUGGAUACAAGUUACAGCACAAAAAAACUGCGCCAUUCAGUUUGGGGAAGCAAAGCUCAUUCCUUCCCUCAGGAACUGAGAAGUGGUGAAGACAAUAUACUCUCCUCCCAUGAGAAACACUGCCUGUUUCAUUCUUUAGUGACUGAUGCGGUAGCAGUAAUAGUUUAGGUUCCGCUUCCUCUUUCUAAGCAAGGGUCAAUAAAAAUGUGACUUCUUUAAGUGAGGAUAAGAGAACUGGGAGAAUCCCUGUGAAGUGUCCUUGCAAAUAAACUGUGCCACUGAGCCACGUAACAAUGAACAGCAAUAUUUAACAUUGACCAAAUAUAGCAUAUUGGGCCUUCUAAGGUGUCAUAGUGACUUCAGGUAGAGUCUAUUUUGUUCCUUUCAGGUCACCUCUCAGAUAAUAAGCUUGGCCUUCUUUACCUUUCUAAAUGGUGGAGUCACUCUGCAACUGGUUUUGAGUAGCAGCUCUAGUCCUCCCAGCUCAUUCCCCCUCCCAUUUCCCAACUGUGUUAAUCCAGUAAAUCCAGCUGUGUUUGGCACCAGGAAAACAGACCAUUCUCCAGUUAAGAGCUUCCCGUUGUUUUCUCAAGGACCCUUAACAGUCUCUGGGACAUCCCAUAACAAUUUAUACCUGCUUACAUGUAGUCACUGCUUUGUUUCCUGUUGGCUCCUCCCUAACACCCUCCUUUGAUUUA